rnacentral:misc_RNA from 1 species
AAGUAAGCAAAUCACAUCAAUUAUACAAAUAAUUAAAUGGUCAUAAUAAACAUGAUGAGAAAUGAAAAAUCAUAAAGCAAAAGUCCCUCAACCUCUUUCUGUCCACAAUUACAAAUUUACAAUCCCAAUAUUAGCCAAUAUCAAAGAAGACCCAAAUCUAAUUGUGGACAACAAAGAGCCUAACGAGAGCAAAUAACUCAGAAUAUACCCAUUUCAAGAACCCAAAGAAAGAUUCGAAAAAAAAUUCAACCCAUUUAGAAGAGAAGCCCAAAAGCAAGAGCUGCAAGAGAUGCGAAAACAGUAGGUACAAAUACGUUAGCAUCAGAGGCAGGGCUAGGAGAUGGGGCUUCCUGAGCUCCCACAUUCUGAACAGUACAAACAGCCAUGAGAACAACCACAAUAGCCAAAAAUACUCUCAUCUUCAAUGCCUCCAUUGCAAAUUUUUUUUUCCUGUUUGGUAGGUGAGAAAAACAAAACUUUCCCAACAAAAUUAUGUAUAUUGAAUAGAAGAUGGAAAAUCUUGUGGAGGCAAAAGGAAGUGC